AAUUCAGUGAAUACGCACCUCGAAGACUGAAAUGUAUAACUUGAGAACCUGUGCGUAGGUUAAGAAACCGAACAAAUAUCUAAUGCGAGUUUUUAUCAUAUAUCCACAAUCCCUCCAUUACCUAGGUAUUGUCAAGGACGCCAACAACUUUACAAUCUAGCAGCUUGCACUAUAUCAUCAUGAGUGGAUCAUGAGCAUCUCGAAACUUCGAGACAAAAAAGUCAUGCCAUGCUUAGCAUAAAAUCAAAUAAGAGCGGGAUAAUGUGUGUGUGUGUGUGUGUGUGUGUGUGUGUGUAUAGUAGUAGUAGUAAUAGUAGUAGUAGUAGUAGUAGUAGUAGUAGUAGUAGUAGUAGUAGUAGUAGUAGUAGUAGUAGUUGUUGUUGUUGUUGUUGUUGUUGUUGUUGUUGUUGUUGUUGUUGUUUUUGUUGUUGUUGUUGCUGCUGCUGCUGCUGCUGCUGUUGUUGUUGUUGUUGUUAUUGUUGUUGUUGUUGCUUAAGGAUGACAGACUUAAUUUACAGUUUGUGCAUCAGUUGUAAGAAAGAAGACAUAUAUAUUGAAAUGGUGAAUGCAGGUUAAGUGUGUGUGUGUGUGUGUGUGUGUGUGUUAUUUAUUUUUAUCUUUAUCCAAGGCUGAACGGACGGCGGUAAAUCAGCCAGCCUUGAAGCAAAGGUCGACCGCCAGACAGGGAGCGCCGUCCACACCGUUCCCCUUCCCCUCCUGCUCCCCUUCAUUGUUUGGAAAAUUUAUUUCCAGACUAAUAAAAACACAAAGAUGUUUUCCCCUCAACACCAUCAGCUAUCAGCAUAACUCUUCAAGAUCCUAUCAGGUAAUAGUAAAUGCGAUAGAAAUACGUAUAUGGAUAAUUAAUUGUUAGUGAUGGGAAUAGUAAGCACAGCAUAUUAAACAUAAAAUUUUUAUUUAGUCCUUUCAUCUGUCAACAAUAUUAACUUCACAUUGAAGAAUCACUAUUUAUAAUAUUUCAUGCCAUUCCACUCAUCCGUGACAAUAAAGGAAAAGUGUUGCGUCACGAGUCUUGCAUAUGUUACCAGUGGUUUCAUUUGCCAUUCACAAACUUCGCCCCUAUUAACCACAACUCCAGUCAUUCUGGUCAGCAAAAUUCUAAUCUUGUGUAUAAAUUAAGACAAAAUAAAAGUCAUGUCAAUCCUAUGUACAGGGUCAGCAAAGGGCUCUUUAUAAAUACUGUGUGAUGAGGGAGGCUGUACCUCUCUCAUGGUGAGCUACAGGCGCAUGCAAUCUGCCUCUGUCCCCUAUCCCAAUGGACAUUCAUUCUCCUAUGAGCUUGUGUUAAGUGGGGUUAAAGACCAUGUCCAGCGCAGUAUAUUUGGAUUUCCCUGGAAAGGUAUAUUAUAAGGACUAGAUGUAACAAAAAAAAAAAAUAAAUAAAUAAAUAAAAAAAUAAAUAAAAUAAAAUAAAAUAAAACAAAUAAAUAAAUAACAGAAUCGGGGUCCGAGUAAACACAAACAAGCAGGCAGUUGUGAAUGCCAAUACUUUUUUUUUAUUAUUAUUAAUAUUUGCCUUAUCUGAUGGUUGUGAAGAUAUAAGAUGGUUUGCCAAUAUAGUCAUGAGGGAAGCCUAGCUGUAACUCACUCAAUGAGAGAAGUGCAAGUUUGGAUGUAUCAUGAAGUAUACUAUACUUCCCAGGAAUGCAAUACAAUUAAGUGUAUUACAGUCGUAAGUGCUGCUCCUGUAUACUGGUUUGUCUGUAUUCAAUAACAAAAUACAAAUAAAUAAAGUCAAAAAGAAGUGUCACAUAGAAAACUAGUUGUAAUCCUUAACUGAGAUGCAGAUAAAGAAUUUCCUCAUUUUAAGACAUCAUAAUUGUUGCAGCAUCAAUCACAAAGUUCAACUCAGGUUAAAACCAUAAAAUGGUUGUGGGUCAUCAUAUCCUCAUAUCCUAUGAAGCCACAUACCUCUUUUAAAGCUUGUAAAUUGGCCUUAUUAUGAACAUGGAAAUAUGAGAUAGGAUGAAGCAAGACUCAUGUGAGCUGAGAUGUGGAAACUGCCCACCAUGUCAUCUGAUUCACCUCAGUGGGUAGAGAACACUGGGGAGAAAGUUGUGGUCAAUUCAAUUAAUGUCUUGCAAUGGGCCGGUUCCCAUGUCUCUUGUUUUGUUUAGCUCUGGUUUAAUUUUAUUAUUUCUUGAGGACAAAUUAAUGCUGGCUAGUGCAGGGAGGGAGAAUGUUAGCAUAGGGAAAAAGAUGAAGGGAAAAAUGGAUAUAAUAGGAUAGUGAUUUUUUUUCAUAAAGUGAAGAAUGUUUACUAAUUUUACAGCAAGAAUGAAACAUACCUAACGAAAUGUUAUGAAAGACAACUUAGUUCAAGGUAUGGUAAGACAAGAAGAGACAUCAGGGUUAUGACAGGUAUAACUUAAUAAACUGAAAUACGAUCAAUCAAAUGUAUAUUUGAAGAGAGGGUUAGUCUAAUUGAAGAAAGGGGCAGGCAAGGAAGAGGAGAGCAGGUGUGGUGCCACCACACAACCAGGGCAUAAGGCGAUGUAUCUUACACUAGUCACCUGAGUUGGUCAUGUCCCAGCGAAAGACCUGUACACUCCUGCUAAAUAAGUCCCAUGGAGUAUGUCAGGCUACUCCCCUGCCCGACUAUUAUGAAGCUUCUACAGGGCCCUGAAGGGUUGUGGCACCCACCCUGUCUCUCACCCAUGCUGCUCCUUUCCUCACAGCUGAGCCAACAUCCCACUCCAUCAUGAUAAUGUUUGUAUACAAGAACAUGAUCUUGCCUGCCAAUAAAAAUUCAGAAAAUAACCAAGAUUAUGGCCAAUUUUUCAAUUCUGUAUUCUUGAUGUAAAUUUUUCCCAAUUCUCAAAGCCAAUAACUGAUGUUUUAUGGCAGAGCUCAUGAGAUAUUUUGAAAGUCAAGUGAAGUUUAAAUAUAUGUCUGUUUGUCUGGCCUAGGGUUAUGGGAGUGCUUUUUUUUUUUUU